CCUUCGAUAGCUCAGUUGGUAGAGCGGUGGACUGUAGAAAGCGCGUUGUAAACAAAAACUCAUACAACACAAAAAUAGUAGUAAUCCAUAGGUCACUGGUUCAAAUCCGGUUCGAAGGA
rnacentral:tRNA from 1 species